GGGCCCGCACAAGCGGUGGAGCAUGUGGUUUAAUUCGAUGAUACGCGAGGAACCUUACCAGGGCUUAAAUGUAGUAUGACCGGUCUGGAAACAGACCUUCCCUUCGGGGCAGAUUACAAGGUGCUGCAUGGUUGUCGUCAGCUCGUGCCGUGAGGUGUUAGGUUAAGUCCUGCAACGAGCGCAACCCCUAUUCUUAGUUGCCAGCGGUUCGGCCGGGGACUCUAAGAAGACUGCCAGCGCAAGCUGAGAGGAAGUGGGGAUGACGUCAAAUCAUCACGGCCCUUACGUCCUGGGCUACACACGUGCUACAAUGGUACAGACAGAGGGCAGCCACCUGGCGACAGGGAGCGAAUCCUUAAAACCGGUCUC
rnacentral:rRNA from 1 species